rfam:Trichobilharzia regenti genome assembly, scaffold: TRE_scaffold0002860
AUCCAGCUGACGAGUCCAAAAUAGGAUGAAAUGCAUGCUGUCCUGGAU